GAAAUGAGGGGAAAUGAGGAAGGAGAGAAAGAGAGAAGGAGAGGAACUGGUCGGGUUCCCCUUCGACCCGUUACCCGAUUAUGAUUGGUGAGUUUCUCCAGCGAAAUUCAUCAUUUUUUCGAUGAAUUGGGUCGAUCUGCCACUCCCAAUCAUCAUCUCGGCCCUUCCUUUACCAAUUCUACACCAAAUUUGAGGAGAUGGGUUUAGAAUUGUGGGAAAUUUGCACCGGUGGGUACGUCAGGCUUCGAGGCGGCGAUCCAUCAAAUCCGAAGGUAACUCUGCCAACCACCACCACUAAUAGACUCCCCUUAACCCUAGUAACAAGACCCAACCGGUGGUAGGGGCGGUGGAUCACCGACGACGGCGAAUCAAAGCUCACCUAUUCUAGGGUUUCCGACGGGUGCGAGCUAAAUUGGGGCUUUUCCCAACCAAAUUGGACUUGGCCACAGGUAUAAAACUUGCUCUACUCAUUGGGCUUUUUCUGUGAAAUUUGGUAAUUUUUGGAAAUAGUUAAUUUUUCCGACGAGUCGGGGAGGUCGGUCGCCACGUGCGGCGACGCGUGGGCAGGGACACCACUUGACCUCCCUAGGCUAAAAUGCGUGCUCUGAUUCCACAUUAGACAUCUGAUUGAUGAAAUUCCAUUGUUUGGUUAUAUUUCCGUUAAGGGCCGCCACUUAGUUAUUAUAUGAUUCGACGAUCCGACCAUUGGAUCGUCACUAAACUUUAAUACGUAAUGGUACAUAAUAUUUAAGGAUAUUAAGAACUAACAGAUUAAGAAUUUGAUGUACGAAUCUUCUCAGAUGGGUUUUCUAAGUUUGUAAAUCUAAAUGUCAGCAACCACUUAAUUUUAGCGAUUGGCUGAGAUUCGACCGUUUGAUCAUUCGGAAACUUAGAAUGUUGUUCUAGAAGCUUAUUGAAACUCUUGGGAAUUUACGAAUCAUAAAUCCAAGGAGCGGAACUUCCGGAUUAAGUUACGUAGGGUUGUACCUUUGACCGACGAUUGACUUUUGGUUAAUGGGUUACAAAUCAUUAUAGAAUGUCCUUAGGGAUGUGUUUUAUGUAAGUUACACGUCUAUUGAUAAGAUUGUUCGUGACGCCUUGAUUUCGUGCUAGGGAGUUGUAGCGCAGACUUCAGGUAAGUAGGUAUUUUCUUUUAUAUAGUAUAUACAUAUUUGUUAGUUUCCAUUUAUUUAUUGAAAGAGAAUUUACUACGUAUGCCUAGCUUAGACUAAUGCUUAUAAGAAUUAAAGAAAUAGCGGAAAAUUACGAAGAGAUCAUAAUUUCUAGAAAUGUCUCGUGUGACAAUGUGGUGCUAAAACAGUAAAACUCGAUGGAAGAACAUCUUGGAACAAUCACUUUUGGUCCCCGAUAGCACUAAUCUUUUCAAACGCAUUAGUGAUAAUUCCGGAUCUUCAAGAGGAAGAUUGACUUCUGUUUAAGUCCGUUCUAAAGUAGAUGAAUAACAACUUCCUUUCCGGCUUUAGGACGUUCCGACUAAUGCUAGUUUUUUGAAUUUCUUUUGGUGAUGUACUCGUCAUUUUGACAAGCAUAGGCACAAUUGUACGAGUUGUUAUACCUAUGGUCAUUAGAAAACCCUGAAGUAGUAAGUAUUUUCCCUAGAAUUAAUGAAACCAACUCACAGGACCAAUUCCUUACUAAUCAUCUGAAACCAACUACCUAAGCUGGCUCUAGCCUGUAAUCAACCUAUAGUGGCGUUACUAAUUGACGAUAAUGUCCGAUAUCCAAGAACUGUUAACUAGUAUUCAAACAAUAUGAUUUCUAAUACCAGACAUAGGUGCUAGUAUCUGGGAGUGAUACCUUUAUACCAGAAUGUCGGUUCAUAGUUUCAGGGUAGCGAACAAUAUCAAAAAUAUCAUAUAUGCAUUAAUUAGCAGUGCGACUGAUAGACUGAUUAACAGUGACUACCUGAGCUGAAGAAAUCAAAUUAUGGAAACUUAGGAGCAAGUUUUGUAGGAGGACCAUAAACUCGCAGUUGGACAGUAAAAUUGGAGUACGAGUCGAUUUCUCACUGUUAGAGUGAUUUGAGUAUCAAGGAAGAUAUGAAGACCUAUUCGCAUAUGGCGUAGUGAAAGGAAGUAGUAUGUUACGUCCGAUGGCGUACACCUCUGGCGUUAUGUUCCAAAAUUUUACCUGGGAUAUCACCAAAUGGUGGAGUGAAGUACACCAUCGAUCCACUUUCUCGUACUACAUCAAUUUUUCCUUGCAUCCUUUCAAACAAGUCCUACAUAAUUGAGAGAACUUAGUUACUAAAGCUUAUUUAUUAGGAAAUUACCCAUCCAAACACUUUAUCUUGGGAACCUCAAACCCAUCCACGAAGGCGAAAGACCGAACCUUAGGAUCGUAUCUAGAUUUUAGCAACUCAAUCGGGUGACGAUUAAAAAUCGUUUAAACCCUACUUCGAGUCGAUGGUCUAGCCAACCAAACUUUGUAACUCGAGUUUUCUUCCAUAGCCUGAAAAAUUCAUAGUGGUCUUAUCGAUGACUUUCUCAUCUACCAUGGCAGUGAGCCCAAAUUCUCUAAACACUAAUAGUUAGCUUUAUACCAAAUUCUUCAAACUUGUUUAGAGCAGAUAUGUUUCUUGGGGAAAUGUGCUCUCAGUGGAUGAUAUUCUUUUCUUAUUCCUAAAAGGGUUUAGUGGAAGAAGGUUGAAAUUCUCACAAAGUGUUAUGAAAUUCAAGAUAUCUUCGAUCUUGUCGAUUUAUCGACAAUUUGUUAAGCAAUGUUUCGGCUAUAGUGUCUUUCCUCACUUACGACCGAGGAAAGUUAGUUUAGUUUGAGAUGUUGAAUAUGAGUAAAGUUUCUGACAACCGAAUUGUUGUCUCACUUUACCUCUGUUUUACACCUUUCGAUGACAUGGAUUAUUUCAAAAUCCACGGUGACGUUUUUCUUGGAUGUUUCGACCGUGUAGAGGAUGCAUGGCAGAGUAUCGUAUAUAUUUCCUAACAUGUAGAACCGUUCAACAUGAACCAUCUUAUUCAUGACUUAGAGUCAACAGUUACCAUAUUUACUUGAAAACCGAAUGCCACUUCUCUGUAGAGAAAUGUGUCCAAAAUCUCUAUUAAUCUUACACCUCAAACAAGUACAUAUCUAUUUGAAAAGAAUUAGAUUUCUAACAAUGGCAAUUGAGGAACUAAAUCAACAUCUAUGAUUACACAAUCGUGUAUCAUCCCCGUUGUGUAAACGUAAUUACUAUUUACUGCAAUAGUGUAAACGUAAUUACUGUUUACUGCAAUAAAAGACAUUAUCUACUCCCGAAAUGCUUUCAGCCUGUCCUAUUUCAUUUUAGUUGAAACUCACAAGCAUUGGGUUGACGUUACUUACAAAUUAUCAAGAAAUCGUUCGAGUGGUUAUACUCACUUUCUGUAUCCUAAUGGAGAUGGAAAAUAUCACCAUAAGCUCUUGGUACGAGGUAUCUUGUACAUGUGGAUUUUACGAUGAUGUUUUGGUGAUUAUCGACGGACUUGACAAGUUAGCUUACUUUCUGUUGGUCCAGAGGGACUACAUUUUAGAUCACUUGAGAAAAAUACUCAUUCUUGAAAUUAUUAGAUUUUUUUGACGUUUAGAUCAACAUCUACUUUGACUGUGAUUUCAUAUUCAUCUUUUGUGUCGGAAGGCAUUCUAGUCACCCUUGGGUACAUGUCUACCCUAGUGCACUUUGUACUAAUUUUGAAGCAAAUAGAAUGUUUAGGUGAAUCGCCCGAACAUUUAGAUUUUAGUUAUGACUAUUAAUUCCUCAAUCACCCAACAAAUACUCUGAUAAGUGAAUCUUUACUGUUGGUGAUUGAAUGUUCCAAAAGCUACUGUUGUAGUGAGAUGUCAUGCAUUAAUUUCAAUUACCUUGUAUUCUAGAUUUGAUGGACUUGUUUGACCCUUAAAUUCUUGAUUGUUCUUCUUGGCAUAGUUUUGCUAAACUUGAGGGAAAUUCAAUGUGAACCUGCUCACUAUGGCGUUAUGAACUGCAUUGUUUGGUUAUAUGGGGUGUGUGUGUGUGUGUGUGUGUGUGUGUAUGUCACUAUUAUAUCUCACUGUGACACGUGUUUCAUUUCCAAGUCUUGGGAAGCCUUCUUGAAGACUAGUCACGUACCACAUUUCACCCUUAGACUAAUGAUUAGUCUCAAACGAGCUACUCAAACCUUAGUGGACAUGUUGCAUUUUGUCCGUUCUACAAUUAGCAUGGUUGUAACACAUAGUUAUCUUUAUUUUAGUUGCUUGUAACUACGGUUACAAUUUUUUGUUUUGGGUAUAGCACUGUUGAGACUUAGUAUGGAAAUUUUAUGCAUAGCACAUGAUCAACAGAAGAGUGUUAUGAACAUGUAGUUGAAUGAUUGAGAUUACAAUGUAGCAAAUUGUGUGCUAUUUGUGUUGUCACCCAAGAGGGCAGUACGUGAGUGCGAUUGAGGUGCUAAUUAGAUGCUUUAUGUGUAUUUCCCAAUGAGGGGCAUGAUGGUAAUAUUGCACCCUCGAGAAUUUGUUACUUACUUAUCGAGACAACUGUGAGUUGUUGGUAUUGCAGCCUGCAGACUGUAAUAUCGAUAACUUAUUUGUUGGACUCGUUAAGCAAGUAGACAAGUAAGUCAUUCUACAUUGGCAUUUGUAUUUACUUAUUUAAUUAGUUAUUCAUUGUUUGGGCUCGACCCAAAAAUAUUACACACUUAUCUUCGGAGUACGUAACGCAACGAGUGUGUAGGUGAAAAUAGUCUAUGUUCAAUUUUAAUUUCAGUACAAUUACUUUAACUUUAUGUUAUUAUAUAUAAAUGGGAUAUGAUCAAGGGACAAAUAUUUUUACAAGCAUUUUUACACUUCUUUGGAGCCUUUAGAUUUUAUAACAUCCAAGGGUUCUUAUUUAUUCAUCGAGUGACUUGGAUACUUAUGUGGAUUUUAGCUAAUAUUAAAAAAAGAAUUGAAAAAACAUAAAAUCUAGAAGAAAAUUAAAAAAAUAUAUAUAUAUGUGUGUGUAUAUAUAUAUAUGUGUAUAUAUAUAUAUAUAUAUAUAAAGAAACCCUAAUCGUGAAAAUAAGAAAGGAGGUACGAAGGCUACAAAGAAAACCAGGCCUAUGUUCUUAUAUUUUACAAUAGGAAUGAAGUGCGUGAUGAUUUUUUUAGAGUGCUAAUAGUAGCUUCCUUUUUUUUUGUUUGAACUUCAUUGGCUAAUGUUAAUAUUUUCUAAUCCUAGGGAACAAAUAAAAUUAAAGGCAUCAAGUUACAGAUCCUUGAAGGCUUUGAACCAGAUCAGAUAUGUCUGAAUGCUAAAAGCUUCUCAAAGAUGAAAAAUCUUCAAAUACUUUUUGUAAAUAGUAAUGUGCGCCUGUCUGGAGAAAUUGAUUAUCUCCCUAACGAGUUGAGACUCCUUCAUUGGCAUGAAUAUCCAUCACAAAUUUUGCCCAAAUGGAAGUUGCAAACCUGGGAAUCGGAGAUAGAGGUUUCAGACCUCCUUUCUUAUUUUCACUAUUAGGGUUUCUUCCUUUAUAUAUAUAUAUAUAUAUAUUUUUUUUUUUUUUUAAAUUUUCUUCCAGAUUUUAUGUUUUUUCAAUUUUCUUUUUAUUUUUAAUAUUAGUUAAAAUCCACAUAAGGAUCCAAGUCACUUAAUGAAUAAAUAAGAAGCCUUGGAUAUUAUAAAAUCUAAAGGCUACAAAGAAGUGUAAAAAUGUUUGUCAAAAUAUUUGUCCCUUGAUCCUAUCCCUAUAUAUAUAUAUAUGUAUGUAUGUAUUUUGACGGGAUGUUAUUAUACAUAUAUAAAUAUUUUCAACUUUAUGUUUUAUAAAAGCAGUAUAUUAUAUUAUUGUAAUGAAUGAGAAGGAAAGUUUAAGUUUGGAGGCAUGAAAAGAGGAAUCAUUGCAAUUCAAUCACGACGGAAUGACAAUUUUAUGCAACCGCUCUAGCUUGAUUUCUUCAUUAUAUAUACUUUCUUCCUAUCUUUUGGAGUAUAUUAUGUAUAGCAAGUGAUUUCAAAUUUCAGGGAUGAAUUUUUUUUUCAAGGUGGCUAGCUUUUGACAACCAGUCCAUAACUUUAUGAUUUUAUUAAUUUUUAAAUGAGUGAAUUGACAAAAAUACCCUCGAGGCUAGAGUGUUGACUUUCGUUGACCGCCUUUCGUGACGCGUACGAGUUAUUAUUUUACCGUACUCUCGAAGUUCUUGACGGGACAAUCGCGUAAGCGUAAUCUGAAUCGAAACCGAAGUUACAAUAGGGGUUUUACGGAACUACAAAUCCGAAAAGUACUUUUGUAAAAAUGACUAUUUAUUAGUUUAUAUAUCUCUCAUAGUCAUUGUUAUUAAUAUUUUAUUAUUGGGUGAGAGAAAUGAAGGAAAUGAGAAUGAUGGACAGAGGAAAGAAGAAAAGAGGGGGUUGCUGCCCAAUCAGAGGAGAGAAAUGAGGAAAGUGAGAUUUAGUCGGAAAGGAAGAGAGGAUGAAAGACCAACCAAUCAGAAAGAAAAGAAAGGAGAAAAACUGCCCAAUCAGAAGAGAGGAAAGGAGGGGAAAUGAGGAAGGAGAAAAUGACAAUAAUUGGUCAGGUUCCCUUUCGACCCGCGACCCGGUUGUGACCGGUCAGUUUCUCCGGCGAAAUUCAUCGCUUUUCCGAUGAAUUGGGUUGAUCCACCACUCCCAAUCAUUAUCUCGGCCUUUCCUCUACCAUUUCCACACCAAAUUUGAGGAGAUUGGGUUCAGAAUUGUGGGAAAUUUGCACCGAUGGAUGCAACGGGCUUCGGGGUGACGAUCCAUCAAAUUCGAAGGUAACUCUACCAACCACCACCACCAAUAGACUCCCCUCAACCCCAGGAACAAGACCCAACCGGUGGUAGGGGCGACGGAGCACCGACGAUGGCGAAUCAAAGCUCACCUAUUCUAGGGUUUCCGACGGGUGCAAGCUAAAUUGGAGCUUUCCCCAGCGAAAUUGGACUUGGCCACAUAUAUAAAACUUGUUUUACUCAUUGAGAUCUUCAUUUCUAUGAAAUUUGGUAAUUUUUGGAAAUAGUUGAAUUUUCCGGCGAGUCGGGGCGGCCAACCACCGUAUGCGGCGACGAGUGGGCAGAGACACCACUUGACCUCCCUAGGCUAAAAUGGGUGCCCCGAUUCCAUAUUAGACAUCCGAUUGGUGAAAUUCCGUUGUUCGAUUAUAUUUCCGUUAAGGACCGCCACUUGGUUAUUAUAUGAUUCGACGAUUCGACCAUUGAGUUGUCACCAAACUUUAAUAUGUAAUAGUACAUAAUAUUUAAGGACAUUAGAAACUGACGGAUUAGAAAUCUGAUGUACAGAUCUUCCCAGAUGGGUUUUCAAAGUUUGUAAAUCUUAACAUCGGCCGCCACUUAAUUUUAGCGAUUGGCGGAGAUUCGACCGUUGAAUCAUUCUGAAAAUUUAGGAUGUUGUUCUAGAAGCUUAUUGAAACUCUUGGGAAUUUACAGAUCAGAAAUCCGAGUUGUGGAUCUUCUAGAUUGAGUUACGUAGGGUUAUGGAUCUUACCGUCGACCUUUAACCGACAGUUGACUUUUGGUCAAUGGGUUACAAAUCAUUCUAGAACAUCCUUGGGGAUGUGUUUUAUGUAAGUUACGUGUUCUAUGGAUAAGAAUUCUAAGACAUGAUUUGAUAUUUGUUCUAGGCGACGAUCGUUCGUGUUGCCUUGAUAUUUGUGUUAGGGAGUUGUAGCGCGGACUUCAAGUCAGUUAGUUUUUUCUUUUAUAUGGUAUAUGCAUAUUUGUUAGUUUCCAUUUAUACAUUGAAAGAUAAUUUACUACAUAUGCCUAGCUUAGACUAAUGCUUAUAAGAAUUAGUGAAAUAACAGAAAAUUACGAAGAGAUCAUAAAUCCUACGGGAUGCAUAAAUAUGUGUAUGUUUAUUGAUGCCAUGAUUAUACCUACGGUUAUGAAUGAUAUUAUGUUGAUUAGAACUAUCGAACCACUAUGGCAUGACUAUAUUUAUGUUUUAUACUCAUCGUUUGCUGCACCGAUGUUAGUGCUCGUCGAGGGCCAGGGCCAAUCUUUCAUGUGUAUGUUCACAUAUGCACCGCACGCUCGCCUUGGAUCCAAGUAGGUGCUAGUCCUGUCAUAUAGGUUGCAAUAGGCAACUCCAACUCGUAUGUGAUCGCGAAUAGCGCUAGUCUUCACUUGCUUAUAGCACUAGAACGUAUAUCACUAUUACACACAGUCCUGUUCAUGUCAGAAUAACUUUGCAUGAACUUGUGUGUCAGCAUGUGUCGAUGAACACUUGGUUUGAUAUGUUUGCUUAUGUGAAAGUAUACGAUUACUGACAUCAUGCACUUAUAUAUGAACUAUUGUGCCGUAUUGAUAUCUUGAUAUUUUGCAGGCUAUGGUGAGUAUUUUCAUACUAUAUGUAGCAUGUAUAUCUUAGAAACUAUACAUAUUUUACGACGAGGGGUUAUAACGUUUUCAAAGGUUUUUAUUAAAACUUUAUUUUCAGGCCUACUCACCCUUGUAUUCCCCCUUCUAGAUUUUAGUAGCUGAGCUUUCUUAUCGAUGAGGAUUCUUGACAAACCUUGGUGUAGACGAUUACCUUCGAUGGUAUAAUUCUCACCCUAUCUUAUUGUAUUGUACUUAUGCUCUGACAUCACGUGUGUAAUGGGUUCAUUCCCACUCACAACGUACUUUUAUAUUUAGGCACUUUUGGGUUUAAAUUUAUUCACAUAUUCCACCACACUAAACUUUAUGGCUUCGUCACCUUCCAGGUGUCGGCCAGCACAACUCGAUUCGAAGUCCAAGUGGACAUUCUUGGUCGGGGUGGGUCAUGAAGCAUUUUCGACGGCUGGUCGAAAAAAAAAGUAUUUCCAAUGGAUCAAUUUGCGAUGCCCAACGAGGGCUUUUUCCCGUCGUAAACAUGAAUUUGC
rnacentral:lncRNA from 1 species